rnacentral:rRNA from 1 species
UACGUAGGGUGCAAGCGUUGUCCGGAAUCAUUGGGCGUAAAGCGCGCGUAGGCGGUCCGGUAAGUCCGCUGUGAAAGUCGGGGGCUCAACCCUCGGAUGCCGGUGGAUACUGUCGGGCUUGAGUACGGAAGAGGCGAGUGGAAUUCCUGGUGUAGCGGUGAAAUGCGCAGAUAUCAGGAGGAACACCGGUGGCGAAGGCGGGUCUCUGGGCCGAUACUGACGCUGAGGAGCGAAAGCGUGGGGAGCAAACAGG